GAUGACCGCUAGCGGGAGGCCUAACACAUGCAAGUCGAGGGGUAACGGCAGUAGCUUGCUACUAGACGACGACCGGCGCACGGGUGAGUAACGCGUAUGUAAUCUGCCUUGUACAGAGGGAUAGCCCAGAGAAAUUUGGAUUAAUACCUCAUAGUAUUACUGAAUCGCAUGAUUUGGUAAUUAAAGCUCCGGCGGUACAAGAUGAACAUGCGUGACAUUAGNCUAGUUUGGUAAGGUAACGGCUUACCAAGGCCCACGAUGUCUAGGGGGUUCUGAGAGGAUGAUCCCCCACACUGGUACUGAGACACGGACCAGACUCCUUACGGGAGGGCAGCCAGUGAGGAAUAUUGGUCAAUGGACGCAAGUCUGAACCAGCCAUCCCGCGUGAAGGAUGACUGCCCUAUGGGUUGUAAACUUCUUUUAUAUGCAAAUAAACCUACUUUCGUGAAAGUAGCUGAAGGUAGCAUAUGAAUAAACACCGGCUAACUCCGUGCCAGCAGCCGCGGUAAUACGGAGGGUGUAAGCGUUAUCCGGAUUUAUUGGGUUAAAGGGUACGUA
rnacentral:rRNA from 1 species